UUUUUUUUUGUUUUGUUUUUUUGUUUUUUUGUUCAUUCAUAGAGACACAGAGAGAGGUAGAGACACAGGCAGAGGGAGAAGCAGGCCUCAUGCAGGGAGCCCAACGUGGGACCCAAUCUGGGUCUCCAGGAUCACACCCCAGGCUGCAGGCGGCACCAAACCACUGCGCCACUGGGGCUGCCCCAGAUACUCCUUUUUAACUUUCUUGAUGAUCUCCUUUAAUGCACAAAACUUUAAAAUUCUGAUGAAGUCCAAUUUUUCUAUUCUUUGGUCACUUGUGCUUUCAGUGUCAUGUCAAAGAAAUCGUUAUCUAAUUAAUGAAGGCUUAACAUGAUUUACCCAUAUGUUGUCUUCUAAAUUUAUUAUGGUGGUAGCUCUUAUAUUUAGGUCUUUGACAUUUUUAGUUCAUUUUUAUAUAUGGUGAAGUAGGUGUCCAGUUUCUUCAUUUUGCAUAUAUGAUUGCCCUAUCAUUAUCUGUUGAAAAGAUUGUUCUUUCCCCAUUCAAUGGUCAUGGCACUCUUGCCAGAAUUCAUGGACCAUAAAUACAAAGUUUUAUUUCUGAAUUCUCAAUUCCAUUCCAUUUGUCUAUACAUUUAUCCUUAUGCCUUGAUUAAGCUAUACUUAAUUAUUUGAUAACUGUAACUUUGUAUAAGUUAGAAAUUGCGAGGUAUAAGUCCUCCAGCUAUGUUCUUUUUCAAGAUUGUGUUGGCUAUUUUGGCUCUUUUGCAUUUCCAUGCAAAUUUUAGAAUCAACUUGUUAAUUUCUGCAAAAAAUCCAUCUGGGAUGUUGAUAGUGAUGGUAUUGACUCUAAGUCAACUUGAAGGUGAGCAAGCAAUACAUUUGAUUGUAUUAUUGCAUGCUAUUGGCAAUAAAUUGACUGUAAAUAAUAGAUUAGCUGAUUAGAAAAUGGUUUUGGAGUAACAAGAAAGGAAUUUGUUGGGAUAGUGAGUCAUUUAGUGUGGAGGUCUUUGAAACCUUUGAAUUCUUUUAUCAGAUAUUAGAGCUUCUUUUUGCCCCCAAUUUGGCUUAUAUAUGCAGAUGAUUUAAUUCUGACUCUCAGUACUGUUGUAUUAAAGAUGGUCUUUUCCAUGUUUUAUUAUGAGGUUGAUGUUUUCAAUCAGUCAAAAAACAUUUGAAUGCCUUUCUUUGUAAGGACUAUAGGAAAUUCAGAGUGGCUACUGCUAAGCACUCCAGGAGAAUAAAAGAACUACAACACAAGGUUUUGCCCUCAGGCCCUCUACAGUGUCAUUGUCUCGUGACAAUGAUUAAUUAUGUUUAAGGAAGUGACACCUGUUACUUAUCCUUUUUGCUGACGCAUCAUGAGUGAUCUUGAACAGUUCCCAAGCAAAGAUUUGCCCCUAACCCUCACUUAUUAGGUAAAAAAAUAUUUCAUGAGCAAGAUAGGAUGGCUGUCUCGAUGCAAAUUUACUCACAGCCCUCACCUGGGAAAAAAAUUCAGAGAGCAAUGCCUUAUUCAAUAGUUUCAUAGGUCUACUUUUUUUUUUAUUAUUAAAUAUAUACUGCAACCUUAAAAGAUCUUAAUUUUUAUAAUUUUAAUAUGUUUAUAGCAGAAAUAAAAUUUAUUUUUAAAAUUUGGCUCUGGUAAUUCUGUAUCCUCAUGUUUCCAUGGACGUGGUAUGUGUGUCAUAACUUGUUUUGAAAUAAUUGCAAAUGUACAGAAAAGUUGCCAAAAACAGUGCAAAGAAUUUCCAUGUCAUUUUCACCCAGAUUCUCAUAUAGUUAACAUUUUAUUGCUUCAUUGCUCACUUUAUAUGUGUGUGCAUAUGCACAUGCAUACGUUCUUUUAUUUUUUCUGGACAUUUUGAGGGUUGACAGAGCAAACUAUAGACAUGAUGUUCUAUGACUCCUAAACACUCUGUUGUGUAUUUUCCCCUAAAUAGGGACAGUCUCGUACACAAAAACAACAUUCCAAAUCGGGAAAUCAAUUUUGGUACAGUACCAUCCAAUCCAAAGAGCCCAUUCAAAUUUUCCCGACAAUGUCUCUUCUCUGGUCCAAAAUACCAAAUAGGAAUACAUUUUGCAUUUAGUUGUCAUGUAUUUUCAGACUCCUUUAAUUUGGAAUAGUUCCCCAUCUUUAUGUCUGUAACAGUUUCAAAGAGUACAGCAUUUAUUUUCACUUAUUUGUAGGAUGGCCUACAACCUGAUAGCAGGAAUACCGCAAAAUGAUGCAUUGCUUUUCCCAGUGAAUACCAACAGGAGGCAUGCAGUGUAGACUCCUCCCAACCCUGGUGAUUAACCUUAAUCACAUGAUCUUGUUGGUUUCAUUUUACCAUUUCUCCUUUGUAAUUGAUUAGUACUCCAAAAUAAUGCCAAUAUCCUCUUCUCAAACCUCCUCCCACCAACCUUCAGUGUCCACUGAAGACCCUGCCUGAAUCAUCCAUCUCUGUAAUGGGUGCCAAAGGUAAUUCUCUAUUUCCAUCAUUUCCUCUGCUUUUUUUGGAUUAGCAUUUUACUAUUAGAGCUUUUCUUUCUCUCCAUUUAUUUACAUCAGUGUGAACUUGUAGAUUCCUGUUUUACUCAAUGAAUUGUAAUCCAUUAUUGUUUAUUUUGAUGCCCCAAUUGUCUCUGAUUUGGCCAGUGGGAGCCCCUUCAAGCUGGCUCUUAACAUUGCAGCAUUUGAAAGUAUGUAUAUUAAUAAACAUGGGUCAUUAGAGUUUUAGUUUCCAUUGUGACAUAACAGAGUUUUGACAUUUUGAAGCUUGCCAUUUCAGCUUCACCUAGGAUACUUUACUCCCUUCUGUUAUGGACUGAAUGUCUGUGUCUCCCUAAAGCUCAUAUGUAGAAGCUGUAAUCUUCAUUGUGUCUAAUCUGCAGUAAAGAAGUAAUAAGGGUUUAAUAAACCUUAAUAAGAGUGCAGUCCUGAUCUGAUAGGAUGAGUACCCUUAUAAGAGGAGAUACCAGAAAAUUCUGUGUGUGCACACACUGAGGAAAGGCCAUGUGAGAACACACCAAGAAGUUGGCAGACUGCAAUCCAGGAAGUGCUCUUACCAGAAACCUAAUCAGGCAAAGCCUGAUCUUGCACUUCUAGCUUCCAGAACUGUGAGAAAAUAAACUUCCAUGGUUUAAGCCACGCUCUCCCCCAAAAAGUAUGUAUGUUGCUAAGAUUCAUUCAUAUGAUAACUAUAGUUCGUUCAUUUAGACUGCUUUGUAAUAUGCUAUUUUGUGCCUAUGUCAAUUUAUUCAUCCACUCUAACAUUGAUGGACACUGGGUUGUUUCCACGUUUUUGCUAUUUUACUAUUCCAAAAUCCUAAUGUUGAGCUUGAAAUGUAUUAAAAUUUUGGAUUAAUAUCAUAUCCUUCAAAUCUGUUCAUUGUAUAAGUAUUGAACACUGAAGUAUGAUUGUUUUGCAGUCUCACCAACAGUACGGUGAGAGGCUCACUUUUAUUUUUCUUCCAAGUUUAUUUUUCAAGUUUUUAUUUAAAUUCUGGUUAGUUAGCAUACAGUGUAACGUUAGUUUCAGGUGUAGGAUUUUAGUGCUUCAUCACUUACAUGGAACACCCAGUGCUCAUCCUCACAUGUGUACUUCUCAAUACCCACUACCCACUAACCUAUUUUACCCAUUACCCCCUCUGCCACUCUCCCCUCCAGCAACCUUCAGCGCGUUCUGUACAGUUGAGUCUUUUAUGGUUUGCUUUUUUUUUUAAACCUCUAUUUCAUCUGCUGUUUCUUAAAUUCCACAUAUGACUAAAAUCAUACAGUAUUUAUCUUUUAUUUCAUAUAGAGGGUCACUUUUAAAAUACUAUCAUCUGCAUUUUUCUUUUUUUAAGAUUUUUAUUUAUUUAUUCAUGAGAGACACAGGCAGAGGGAGAAGCAGGGUCCCUGCAAGGAGCCCGAUGUGGGACUCGAUCCCAGGACCCCGGGAUCACGACCUGAGCCAAAGGCAGAUGCUCAACCACCGAGCCACCCAGGCGCCCCUAUCAUCUGCAUUUUUCAUGGAGAAAGAUUUAAAUGACCUGUUUUCAAAACCAUGCAAUAAACGCUUUUAUUUUAAGUAAAUGUCCUCUUGGUUUUUCUUCUAUUUAUGUAAGGAUAUUGAAAGAAAAGGGUCGAGAAAACAAAAUCAAAAGUUGGAAAACUUUAGGCUCGUGUGGAUGCAAAUUUGCACCCGCGGACGAGGCGAUCCCAGGCAGGACCGGGCGGCUCCAGCAAGCAAUUCCCAGAGCCCAAGCGCAGAAACCACCCCCACCCCCAGCUCUGUUUCCCGCCCUAAAACUUUAUCGCGAGUCUUGGGAUAAACUUUGUGGUGAUUGCUUGGGAACUAAAUUCUCGCGAGAGGUAGGUAGUUGCUACAGUUACGCCUAAGGCGUUUGCGGCUUCCUCAGGUAAGACGUCGGUAUCGCUGCUCAGGGAACCCUCUGCUCCCGGACUCCCCGCCGUGGCUCUGCGACCGCGCCCGUUACCUCAGUCUCUUCAGCUAGGCCGCGUCCCAGCGCAGUGCACUGAGGUACAGACCUAAACGCCACCCACCCCGCUGGACCUAAACGCUGGCUGCUGCGCCGGCCCAUCCCAGGCCUCCCACCUGAGGCCGGGCUUAGAGCCCCUUCUCGCUUUGCCCCAGAUACCCGGCAGUAGCUCCCUACCGCGCCCCUGUCCCCAGACGACACCCGCCCAUCCCAUCGUAUCCGUCGUCAAACCUGUUUCCGGUGUGACUGUUCCCUUGCAUUUUCUUUCGUCUUAAAGAUUUUGCUUUUAAGUAAUCGCUACACGCAACGUGGGUCUUGAACUCACAACCCCGAGAGCAAGAGUCUCAUGCUCCACCCACUGAGCCAGCCAGGUGCCCCUCCCUUGCAUUUUCUUAUGAGCAAUAUGACAAGGAAUGGGUGCUUCUUGGGAGCAACAAGAGCCCGCCCCCGCCGCCUGGACCUUUUUAAACAUUUUUUAAAUUGGAGUUCAAUUUGCCAACAUAUAGCAUAUAACCCAGUGCUCAUCCCGCCAAGGGCCCCCCUCAGUGCCCGUCACCCAGUCACCUCGCCCCCCGCCCACCUCCCGUUCCACUACCCCUUGUUCAUUUCCUAGAGUUAGGUGUCUCUCAUGUUUUGUCACACACACUGAAAUUUUCACUCAUUUUCUCUCCCUUUAUUCCCUUUCACUAAUUUUUAUAUUCCCCAAAUGAAUGAGACCAUAUAAUAUUUGUCCUUUUCCGAUUGACCUAUUUCAUCAUAAUACCCUCCAGGUCCAUCCACGCAGAAGCAAAUGGUGGGUAUUCGUCGUUUCUAAUGGCUAAUAUUCCCUUGUAUACAUAGACCACAUCUUCUGUAUCCAUCAUCUUUUGAUGGACACCGAGGCUCCUUCCACAGUUUGGCUAUUGUGGACAUCGCUGCUAGAAACAUUGGGGUGCAGGUGUCCCGGCGUUUCACUGCAUAUGUAUCUUUGGGGUAAAUCCCCAGCAGUGCAAUUGCUGGGUCAUACUGCCGCCCUGACCUUAAUGCAACUAGCCAGAUUUCUUGCAUUCAUUAUGCAGUAAAUAUCCUGCUAAGACAAGGCAUAGUGCCAGGCCCUCAGAGACUGUAAAAAUGAAUGAGAGAUUACUUGUCUUGAAGGGAGUAAUUGAACUUUUAGGAAAAGCAGUGCACAUUAAUAAUAUCAUUUGUAUUGUACUUCAUAGCUUAAGCAGUUUUACUAUUUUAGUGGAUAUUCACAACAAAUGUGAAAAUCAGAAGUUAUAUUAUCUCUUUUAUAGAAGGUGAAACAGGCUCUGAGAAAUUAGGCUAGUGAAGGCCUAAUUCAUGUGGUACUAAUGAAAAUGAGAGUAAUGUAAAAAGGUCGUUUCUAAUGUGAAUUAAAAAAAUUUUUUUAAUUUAUUUAAAUUCAAUUUGCCAAUAUAUACUAUAACACCUAGUGCUCAUCUCAUCACGUGUCCUCCUUAAUCUAAUGUGAAUUUGAUAAGAAAAUUGUCAGGGUCACUUAGAUCCUGAAUGAGCCUGAAGACAUGGUGUUGAACAAGUGAUCUGAGAUGUUUAGAUGACUUCAAGUGAGGGAAUAGCUGAGAAGAGAUAGAAUAAUUUUUUAAAGAUUUUAUUUAUUUAUUCAUGAGAGACAGAGAGAGAGAAGCAGAGACAUAGGCAGAGGGAGAAGCAGGUUCCAUGCAGGGACCCCAAUGUGGGACUCGAUCCCAGGACUCCGGGAUCAUGCCCUGGGCCAAAGGCAGACGCUCAACCCCUGAGCCACCCGGGCAUCACAAGACAAUAAUUAUAAAGCCUGUGAACAGCAAAGUAUCACCUUUUUUGUACCACCAGUCCUAGACAUAGCAUAGUGUGUCCUCAGUAAACGUUUGAAUUGCAUUAAGUUCCACUUUGAAUUGAGGUAGAAAAUCUUUCUUACACCAAUUUAUUUUUGAAAUUAUGUCCUUAGUGUUGUAAAAUAACUAGAAAAUAUCUCAGACUAAAUUGGACAUAUGUCAGAACUUUUACUGAUGAACUAACCAUUAUUCCAUGUGGCUGUUUUUUUCCUGUUAGAUAUUUUUAUAAAAGAGAUUAAGUCAUCUUUGAGGGGAGAUUUGCACAUUAAAAAAAAAAAAAAAAAAAA
rnacentral:lncRNA from 1 species